rnacentral:lncRNA from 1 species
UCUCAUCAGAGGAAACUGACCCACCGUCUGAUUGACUAGGAGAAACAACCAUGCAGCUACUGGUUGGCGCAGCAGUAAAUAUAAAUAUAGUUGUCACGGUGUCGCCAUGGCGUCACCUAGGCAACGACUAGGUGUCCUGGCGCUAGAGAAGAACAAGACAACGCCUUGGACGUCGAGCCACCUUGGUAGCUGGCCCAAGUUAAGUGAUUAAGUCAUUUUGUACCCAUGACUCAUCAUAACCCAUGGAUUAGCUAUAUGGUGUAAUUUUUAUUAUUUAUUAGACUUAUAAUGUGUGAUGAUUAAGGUUUACUAUUACAUAUAUAGACCAAAAAAGGUUACCACUCAGAACAAGUCCUUAAAAAAAAUUGUUUCAUU